CCUAGCUGUAAACGAUGCGGACUUGGUGUUGGAGGUGCCUUGAGGUGCAUCUCAGUGCCGAAGAGAAGCUGUUAAGUCCGCCACCUGGGAAGUACGUUCGCAAGAGCUGAAACUAAAGGAAUGGCGGG
rnacentral:rRNA from 1 species